ACCUGAAUAGUUUAAUAAAAAUAUUGAUUUGUGGUGUCAAAAAUGUAAUUCGUUACUUCGGGUA
rnacentral:tRNA from 2 species